AGCGAACGCUGGCGGCAGGCCUAACACAUGCAAGUCGAACGAACUCUUCGGAGUUAGUGGCGGACGGGUGAGUAACACGUGGGAACGUGCCUUUAGGUUCGGAAUAACUCAGGGAAACUUGUGCUAAUACCGAAUGUGCCCUUCGGGGGAAAGAUUUAUCGCCUUUAGAGCGGCCCGCGUCUGAUUAGCUAGUUGGUGGGGUAAUGGCCCACCAAGGCUACGAUCAGUAGCUGGUCUGAGAGGAUGACCAGCCACAUUGGGACUGAGACACGGCCCAAACUCCUACGGGAGGCAGCAGCGGGGAAUCUUGCGCAAUGGGCGAAAGCCUGACGCAGCCAUGCCGCGUGGAUGAUGAAGGUCUUAGGAUUGUAAAAUCCUUUCACCGGUGAAGAUAAUGACUGUAGCCGGAGAAGAAGCCCCGGCUAACUUCGUGCCAGCAGCCGCCGUAAUAC
rnacentral:rRNA from 1 species